rnacentral:tRNA from 1 species
GCCUGUCUGGGUCAGUCAGUAGAGCAUGUGACUCUUGAUCUUACGGUUGUGAGUUCAAACCCCACGGUGGGCA